AGAGUUUGAUCCUGGCUCAGGAUGAACGCUGGCGGCGUGCUUAACACAUGCAAGUCGAACGGGGAUGCUGACGGAAGGGGUGCUUGCACUCUGGAAGUAAGGAUCUUAGUGGCGGACGGGUGAGUAACGCGUGGGUAACCUGCCCCAUACCGGGGGAUACCACCUGGAAACAGGUGCUAAUACCGCAUAAGCGCACGGGAGCGCAUGCUCCUGUGUGAAAAACUCCGGUGGUAUGGGAUGGACCCGCGUCUGAUUAGCCAGUUGGCAGGGUAACGGCCUACCAAAGCGACGAUCAGUAGCCGGCCUGAGAGGGUGGACGGCCACAUUGGGACUGAGACACGGCCCAAACUCCUACGGGAGGCAGCAGUGGGGAAUAUUGCACAAUGGGGGAAACCCUGAUGCAGCGACGCCACGUGAGUGAAGAAGUAUUUCGGUAUGUAAAGCUCUAUCAGCAGGAACGAGACAAGACGGUACCUGACUAAGAAGCCCCGGCUAACUACGUG
rnacentral:rRNA from 1 species